rnacentral:rRNA from 1 species
GUCGGUCACACCCACCGCCCGGACCGGACGAGCGUGCCCUGCGUCACCCGACCCGGAUGCCCACGAGACACGUGUCGUCGUCCGUGUCCGACCUGCUGUAGGUGAGCAGCCGGUCCA